rnacentral:tRNA from 1 species
CAAACUAUAAUCUAGGAUUAUCUUUUAUUUACAUUAAAGGAGUAUUUGUGCGAUUCAAAUUAGUUUGA